UCAUGCAGAAAAGCAAGAAAAGCAUUCGCAGAAAGCAGGAGCUGCAGAAAGUUAUAGAGAAAAGAGCAAAAGACUUCUGCAACUUCCGCAUCCGGUAGCUUGCUCGUCCAAAUGGCGGACAACGACGCCGCUGCAGCGAAGUCACGGGAAAGACGCAUACAAGAACUGAAAGUCUUGGAGCAUGAAAUUAACUGCCUCAAGAGAAAUGCUUGCGUAUACAAGCAGCAGCCAAACAGCAACAUUUUCUUCAAGUCCACACGGGCAGAUGUUGAACAAGAUACAAAGAGAAACUUGGAUGCGUUGCAAGCCUGCCAGAAUAGUGAACCAUCCAAGACCACCACAGAUUGACACAUCUUUGACUUUUAGACUUGUUGACGUGUUCUGCCUAUAAAAAGAAACAAGACACUAUUAUUAAUUCAAGAAGUGUUUUGUCAUUAACAAUGUGUGCAAUGCAAGCAUGUGACCUAGCAAAAAAAGAUGUGCUGUCACGCCUUAUUGGUGGCAAACGCAAGUGAAAUUUUAAUCAAGAAAGUCUGCCUCUAUAAACCCUGUAUUUUGCAAUAGCAAAGCAUGCCACUAAAAAGUGUGCCUCCUUGACAUACAACAGAACCUGCUGAUUCAGAAGUGCAAGGCUUUAAGUGGCUACUGUUAGAAGCUGUACCAAUUGGCCUCAAGGGGCAUCCUUAUUUUUUAAUUUGGUCAGUCAACGUUUCAUGUCACGAAUUACUGUUGUGUGUAAUGCUGCAUAAGCUCAAAGUAUGGAUCAUUGUGAAAGGCAGUGUGGAUGACUUUGGCCCUUGUGUUGUGGUUUGGCUACCAACUGUCGUCAUGGGCAGAAGCAUAUAGUAUCCAGCAUUGUAGUGUACUAUACCACCACUGAAUAUGUGUUUAACAUAGGUGGGAAACCUCCCAUGCAUCAAGGUAAAGUGUGUUGCAGUGUCGAGGUAAGGUGUUGCAGUUAACAUUCAAAGAUGCACAAUGUAUUAUUGUAUCAAAUUUCCAAGAUUGAACCGUAUCUUGUUCAUACAAGAUUUGUCUCAUUGUGCAUGCGCUUGACACAUGUAGCUUUGUAUCAUAAUCUUGUCAAUGUAACAGCAAAGUGAACAAUUUAAAUAUUGUUUAGCUGACUUGUUCAUAGAGCAUAUUUGAAGCAGAGUUUGUAAUUAAUUACUGAGUCUCUAAAUUCUCACCGCGAACUUUCAAGCAACAACAUUGAACAUAAAUACUACCAUAGACCAGGCACUGCCAUGCAGUGAAAAAAAAUCAUUGUAAAGAAAAUUACAGAUGGCUACUUGCAAAAGGAAAAGGCAAUUCAUAUAAAAGCAUUCCAAGUACAUGCAUCUUGUGUCCUCUAACGAAAGAGAACAGCUGAAUAGUGUCAAAGAGCAUACAGAAUAAGGCUCAAUUGUCCCCGUUGAAGUGAGGUGGGAGGAGCUGUGAUUGGACUAAUUGAACAGUGCUGAGCCACUACUCCAAAACAAUUGCCAUCACAAUUAACAGAUUUGUAUUACACAUGCCUCAAUGUCCAGAGGCAUGUGUACAGGCCACUCUUUUAUUUAGCAGCUGCCCUAUCCUCUUUUACGUGACUUAGUUGUCUUUUUGAUGCAUUAGCUCUACCAGCAACAUGUUCUAAUAAAAAAUAUUGAUACUCGUUUUGUA